rnacentral:lncRNA from 1 species
GGCUUUUGCUGAUUUGCAUAUAUAACACGUGCUGUAGUUUCUCCCUGUCUAUACGACCUCCGUAAUUCAGCUUUGUGACGUCACAAAGCUGAAUUACGAAGACUGAGCAAGGUCGUAACGUAAGUAAGUAAUUUUUAUUGGUUUGAAAUCCAAAAUUACAGGAUUGAUACCAAGACAAUACAAAACAUACAAACAUAUAUAUCAUACCAAAUUCAUAAACAUUGUAUAUAUA